UACGAAGGGGGCUAGCGUUGCUCGGAACCACUGGGCGUAAAGCGCACGUAGGCGGGUUGUUAAGUCGGGGGUGAAAUCCUGGAGCUCAACUCCAGAACUGCCUUCGAUACUGGCGACCUUGAGUCCGGGAGAGGUGAGUGGAACUCCGAGUGUAGAGGUGAAAUUCGUAGAUAUUCGGAAGAACACCAGUGGCGAAGGCGGCUCACUGGACGACUGUUGACGCUGAGGUGCGAAAGCGUGGGGAGCAAACAGG
rnacentral:rRNA from 1 species